rnacentral:rRNA from 1 species
UACGUAGGGGACAAGCGUUAUCCGGAUUUAUUGGGCGUAAAGCGUGUGUAGGCGGUUUAUUAAGUUUAAGAUCAAAGCCCGAGGCUCAACCUCGGUUCGUCUUAAAUACUGGUAGACUUGAGUAUGGAAGAGGUAAGUGGAAUUUCUAGUGUAGCGGUAAAAUGCGUAGAUAUUAGAAGGAACACCAGUGGCGAAGGCGACUUACUGGGCCAUUACUGACGCUGAGACACGAAAGCGUGGGGAGCAAAUAGG